GCGGUCGUAGCAUAAAGGUUAAUGCAGGGGUUUGUGAAACCCUUGAUGCGGGUUCAAUUCCCACCGAUCGCC
rnacentral:tRNA from 1 species